rnacentral:rRNA from 1 species
UACGUAGGUGGCGAGCGUUGUCCGGCAUUAUUGGGCGUAACGGGCUCGUAGGCGGUUUGUCACGUCAGGAGUGAAAACUCGGGGCUCAACCCCGAGCCUGCUUCUGAUACGGGCAGACUAGAGGUAUGCAGGGGAGAACGGAAUUCCUGGUGUAGCGGUGAAAUGCGCAGAUAUCAGGAGGAACACCGGUGGCGAAGGCGGUUCUCUGGGCAUUACCUGACGCUGAGGAGCGAAAGUGUGGGGAGCGAACAGG